rnacentral:rRNA from 1 species
GGAGGCAGCAGUGGGGAAUCUUGCGCAAUGGGCGAAAGCCUGACGCAGCCAUGCCGCGUGAAUGAUGAAGGUCUUAGGAUUGUAAAAUUCUUUCACCGGGGACGAUAAUGACGGUACCCGGAGAAGAAGCCCCGGCUAACUUGGUAGCAGCAGCCGCUGUCAUACAAUAGUGGCUAGCAAUGCUCGGAAGUUCUGGUCGUAAGGGUCACGUAGACGGAUCGUUAUCUCAGAGGGGAAAUCCCAGGACUCAGCCAUGGUCGUGCCUUAGAUACUGACGAUCUUUAGUAUGAGAGAGGUAUGUGGACUUCCGAGUGUAGAGGUCACACUCGUAGAUAUUCGGAAGUACACCAGUGGAGAAGGCGUCAUACUGGCUCAUGGGUGACGCUAAGGCGCGAAAGCGUCGGGAGCAUACAGGAUUAGAUACCCUGGUAGUACACGCCGGAAACGAUGACUCCUAGUUGUCGGGAUGCAUGCAGUUCGGUGAUGCAGCUAAGGCAUUAAGCAAUCCGCCUGGGGAGUACGGUCGCAAGAUGGGAACUCAACGGAAUUGACGGGGGCCCGCACAAGCGGUGGAGCAUGUGGUUUCAUUAGAAGCUACGCGCAGAACCUUACCACCUUUUGACAUGCGUGGACCGCCACGGAGACGUGGCUUUCCCUUCGGGGACUAGGACACAGGUGCUGCAUGGCUGUCGUCAGCUCGUGUCGUGAGAUGUUGGGUCCAGUCCCGCAACGAGCGCAACCCUCGCCAUUAGUUGCCAUCAUUUAGUUGGGAACUAUAAUGGGAAAGCCGGGGAUAAGCCGGAAGAAGGUGGGCCUGACGUCAAGUCCUCAUGGCCCUUACACGGUGGGCUACACACGUGCUACAAUGGCAACUACAGAGGGUUAAUCCUUAAAAGUUGUUUCAGUUUGGAUUGUCCUCUGCAACUCGAGGGCAUGAAGUUGGAAUCGCUAGUAAUCGCGGAUCAGCACGCCGCGGUGAAUACGUUUCCGGGCCUUGUACACACCGCCCGUCACACCACGGGAGUUGGUUCUACCCCAAGGCGGUGCGCU